rnacentral:sRNA from 1 species
CUUCAAAUUGCUCUCCUGUUAGAGACGAAAUGAGAAUUUAGUGCAGAUGUUUUCACCUCCUGUGAGCAGUGGGAAAAAUGGACCAACUUCUUUGGCAAGUGGACAUUUUACUGGCUCAAAUGUAGAAGACAGAAGUAGCUCAGGGUCCUGGGGGAAUGGAGGACAUCCAAGCCCGUCCAGGAACUAUGGAGAUGGGACUCCCUAUGACCACAUGACCAGCAGGGACCUUGGGUCACAUGACAAUCUCUCUCCACCUUUUGUCAAUUCCAGAAUACAAAGUAAAACAGAAAGGGGCUCAUACUCAUCUUAUGGGAGAGAAUCAAACUUACAGGGUUGCCACCAGCAGAGUCUCCUUGGAGGUGACAUGGAUAUGGGCAACCCAGGAACCCUUUCGCCCACCAAACCUGGUUCCCAGUACUAUCAGUAUUCUAGCAAUAAUCCUCGAAGGAGGCCUCUUCACAGUAGUGCCAUGGAGGUACAGACAAAGAAAGUUCGAAAAGUUCCUCCAGGUUUGCCAUCUUCACAAAUAGAGGAAGCGGGGCAGCCGGCAGCUCCCAGACUGGAGAUGCUCUGGGGAAAGCACUUGCUUCGAUCUAUUCUCCAGAUCACACUAACAACAGCUUU